rnacentral:rRNA from 1 species
AUCGAUGAAGAACGCAGCGAAAUGCGAUAAGUAAUGUGAAUUGCAGAAUUCAGUGAAUCAUCGAAUCUUUGAACGCACCUUGCGCUCCUUGGUAUUCCGAGGAGCAUGCCUGUUUGAGUGUCAUGAAAUUCUCAACCUUAUCAAAGUUUUUGACUUUGUCUGGCUUGGACUGUGGGAUAUGCUGGCUUGUCAAAAGUCAGCUCUCCUUAAAUGUAUUAGCAGAAUCUUUUAAAGGUUAGCUUUUUAGUGUGAUAAUUAUCUACGCUAUGAAGUGCCUUGUUUGCAAUUCAGCUUCUAAAUUGUCUUGUUAAAAGACACCAUGACCAUUUUUGACCUCAAAUCAGGUAGGACUACCCGCUGAACUUAAGCAUAUCAAUAAGCGGAGGAAAAGAAACUAACAAGGAUUCCCCUAGUAACUGCGAGUGAAGCGGGAAAAGCUCAAAUUUAAAAUCUGGCAGCUUUGCUGUCCGAGUUGUAAUCUAGAGAAGUGUUAUCCGCGCUGGACCGUGUACAAGUCUCCUGGAAUGGAGCGUCAUAGAGGGUGAGAAUCCCGUCUUUGACACGGACUACCAGGGCUUAUGUGAUGCGCUCUCAAAGAGUCGAGUUGUUUGGGAAUGCAGCUCUAAAUGGGUGGUAAAUUCCAUCUAAAGCUAAAUAUUGGCGAGAGACCGAUAGCGAACAAGUACCGUGAGGGAAAGAUGAAAAGAACUUUGGAAAGAGAGUUAAACAGUACGUGAAAUUGUUGAAAGGGAAACGCUUGAAGUCAGUCAUGUUGCCCAAGGAUCAACCUUGCUCUUUUGCUUGGUGUACUUCUUGGAUCGACAGGUCAGCAUCAAUUUUGAUCGAUGGAUAAAGUUCAGAGGAAUGUGGCAUCUUCGGAUGUGUUAUAGCCUUUGUCCGUAUACAUCGGUUGGGAUUGAGGAACUCAGCAUGCCGCAAGGCCAGGUUUUUAAACCAUGUUCAUGCUUAGGAUGCUGGCAUAAUGGCUUUAAUCGACCCGUCUUGAAACACGG